CAUUAUACAGCAAUCUUACACAACCACACAGAUUCUUUUGCCGGAGUCCGAAGUUUCAUCUAUGGACGCAGCACCACAAACCAGCGGAUUGAAUCGUGGUGGGGGAUCCUGAGGAAACAAAGUGCACAGUUUUGGAUCAACGUUUUCCAAACCCUCUAAGAUGACGGCUACUUCUCUGGUGAUUUCUUGGAUAGGAGCCUGAUCCAAUUCUGCUUCCUAAACCUUGUUCAGGAUGAACUUGACGAAGUCGUGAGAACCUGGAAUUCACACAAGAUAAGAGCAAAGGCAGCUGAUGGUGUGAUUGGAGGUCGGCGGAUUUUGAUGUACACACUUCCAGGCAUGUUCGGCGCAGAGGACAAUCUCAAGCCCAUACACAUGAAUGAAUUGGCCCUUUGUAGGGAGGAGUGCACCCCCAAAAGCCAAUAUACAUGUGAUGAAACUGUAUUUGAUCUCUGCUGUCUUCUGAUGCAGGAAAGGGGAUGGGAUCCUCCUACAGAUGCAUUUUCCGCUGCUGAACUGUACACCUUAUUAAGAACUGAAAUACUGCAAAGUGUCUGAGGGUGGACAAUUCUCUCUGCACAAAGAAGAAUCAUUUGUACUGUACAAUACAGGACUGUCUCAGAAAAUUAGAAUAUUGUGAUAAAGUCCUUUUAUUUUCUGUAAUGCAAAAAUGUCAUACAUUCUGGAUUCAUUACAA